CCUACGGGAGGCAGCAGUGGGGAAUAUUGCGCAAUGGGCGAAAGCCUGACGCAGCGACGCCGCGUGAGGGAUGAAGGUCUUCGGAUUGUAAACCUCUGUCAGCAGGGAAGAACGGUCACUGUGCUAAUCAGCAGUGAAUUGACGGUACCUUCAAAGGAAGCACCGGCUAACUCCGUGACAGCAGCUGAGGUAAUACGGAGGGUGCUAGCGUUAAUCGGAAUUACUGGGCGGAAAGCGCACGUAGGCGGUAUGUCAAGUCAAGGGUGAAAUCCCCGCGCUCAACGUGGGAACUGCCUUUGAAACUGGCAAACUGGAGUGUGUGAGAGGAUAGUGGAAUUCCAGGUGUAGGAGUGAAAUCCGUAGAUAUCUGGAGGAACAUCAGUGGCGAAGGCGACUAUCUGGCACAUAACUGACGCUGAGGAGCGAAAGCGUGGGUAGCAAACAGGAUUAGAUACCCCGGUAGUC
rnacentral:rRNA from 1 species